GACACUUGGUGACUUUAGUUGCAUUAGCUCUGUGAACACAAAAAUCAUGGACAUGAUUCAGAUAUGUUAAAGGGUCAGGAGAAAAAGUCACACUUUGCUCCUCUGCGGUUAAAAAUGGCCCCAUAGGAAAUUAAUAGGAAAUACGAAAACUCUGAGAAUCUUUUGGUGGUACAAACUACAAAUCAACCACUGUGCAGAAAAAAGUGCACAGCAAUAUCUAAAAUAUCAAGAGCAAAACAGACACAUCCACCCCACACUAGAGUGACUAUAAAACUGAGCAAGUUCUCGCAAAUGCUAAAUAUCAAGAAAAUCAAGAAAAAACCAUCAAGAUAGAAGUUUACACACGCACACAAAUGAACUGGUGUGGCUGUAACAAUUAUGGUAACACUGAGCCAAAAGACUCAAAAAAGAGGUUGAAAUCAGAUCUGCUUCUGCCUGGCCCAGAUGGAUUGAUGUAAACCGGGUUAACCUAUGCUACCAGUAAAGAGAAAAAAAGUUAAGAAAAAGAAAGAAAAUUAUAGAAGGAAAAGAGAUUCAUCCAAUCACUGAUCGUGCUGCAGUGAGAGACACCCCUAAGAGCCAAUAGUAGCGGCGCAUUCAUAAGUCCCGCCCACUGGUCGCGCCGGCGCUGCUUUCAGCGUGAGCAGAUGAGAGAGAGAGAGAGAGAGAGAGAGAGAGAGAGAGAGUCAGAGCAGAUCAGCACAGAGCAGACAGUUUCUCCAGAAAAUCCACUCAUCUAACUGGAGAUGUGAUUGAGUGCACUGAAAGCGGAGCUUUUGAAGUCGAUGCGUCAGCCUGAAGAGAGAGACGGAGCGGAUCCCAGAGUGCAUCAGCGCUACCCAAAGGAAAAGGACAGUGAUUCCCAAACCACAGUGAAAAAUGAAUGAAUGUCUGUUGAUGAGUAUCAAGACACAACCUUGACAGAGACUCAGAAGAGGCUGGAAAAAAUGGAGGAGAAUGAAAAAUUGAGAAAUGAUGACAAAAAAAGCUACCAAAUCUGAUAAAUGAAGUGAAGAUGGCCCUGAAGUCUCAGUGUUCGUCAGCAUCAGUCACAUGACUUGGAAAAUGGGACAGGGUUUGCCACAGAGUAAUUACAGAGCCCUUCCAACAGAACAGGAGCCAGUCUGUGUGGGAGUGCUUUCUUCUGCAGUCAUCUGGGUCUUUCCUCCACUGCGUGAGGCGUGAGGUUCAGCAUCUGUGCAGUGUGUGUGUGUGUGUGUGUGUGUGUGUGUGUGUGUGUGUGUGUGUGUGUGCUCUUGAGGCUGUGGGUCUUUGUCCUAGUUUCUUCUUCUCUCUUCUUCCCGCAGGCGGUGUUGAACCUGUGAAGCUGGCCCGCCACCCAACGCGAAACGUCGGCAAAAUAGUCUCAAUCGUUUGUGCUGCUUUGGUUUUUAGAUAUUAAAAGAAUAUUUAUCCAUGGGUUUCAAAGACGUCACUUCCGCAAUUCCCGCCGCCAUCUUUGUGUCGGAGAUGGCAACUAACAGCGCUUCGUUGAUCUGAUGAUCAUCUUUAGCUUCAGCGCGAGCGCUCGGCAACACAAAACAUUAUCUACGAUUGUGGCUGUCAUAUUAAUAACGUUUUAAUUGUAUAUGCUAUUGUAUUAAAAUGUUGUGAAUUCUAGUGUUUCGGCGUGUUAUACAGGAAGAACACAUCCACAACAGGAGCUAUUCUGACUACGUCACUAGUUCAGGUUCAUGCGUGCAUGAUUUUGUGCAAAUAUAAGUGUAAUGUUAUGUUUAUGUUGUAUAAAUCUAUGAAUUACCCUAUACAGGAUGUGUUACGUUGAGUUAACUGACCUUCUAUCAAAGCGCUUCAGUUUACGGGUGUUCAUUCAGCGCGCGUAACGUUAGCUCAAACAGUAAUGUUAUCGAAAUGAGAUGAUUUGAGGAAAAAAUCUGUUAUUGUUCGUGAUCCUUAUUAUUAAUCAAACCAUGUGUUUAUGAAAAUAAUACGAGAACAAUAUAAGUGCUAGUUAUUAAAAAAUAAUGCAUUCUUUUUUUUGAAACAAUAUGAAAGUUUUACAGUAGUAAACAUUUUCAGUGACUUAAUCAUUGCUGUUUUGAGCUGCGCUCGCUGAAGCUGAAGAGAACCAAAACCCAUAAACCGAAGGUUAAUUAACUCAACGGAACACGUCCUAUAUAAAUGAUAUUUAUACAGAAUAAAAAUGGUUUAUAAAGAAUGUUUAUAAAAUUUACUAGUAUUUGCACAAAAUCACGCACAGAUGAACUUGAGUAAUGUAGUCAAUAAUGCUCCUGUUGUGGAUGCAUUCUUCCUGUAACUGCGAAACACAGCAAAUAGGCCCAAAUAAUUCACAACGUUAUAUUACAUGUGUAUAUACGCUUAUAAUAUCAUGUAUAAGAAGACAGUCCCGAUCAUAUUAAUGUAUUGCCUUACUUUUUUAGCGCUCGCGCUGAAGCUAUAGAUCAGGGGUCUCCAAACUCAGUCCUGGAGGGCCACUGUCCUGCAGAGUUUAGCUCCAACCCCAAAUAAACACAAAUGAAACAGCUAAUUAAGGUCUAAUUAAAGGGUUAGUUCACCCAAAAAUGAA